UUUUUUUUUUGUCACCCAGUCCAGUGAAGCCGUUCCAGAAAGAUGCUGUUUUGCCUGGUCUUGUGAUUAGGUGUGACAGGCAAGAAUGCCAAUAAAAGCCUAUUUAUAUCUCCCUACCUUGUUCUUUAAAAACAGUGCUCAUAAGGAAUGGCAGUCUAUUAACUUGCAGUUAGUAUUUUUCUGCUUAUAAUAGCACCACUUUUCUUUCGCAGGUAUGGUGAUUUUAGAAAAACAAACACGUCUUUGCCUGAUGAAGAAGAGAGUGAGCUUUGAGAACCAUCUUAAUGAUUCUAAAUGACAUAAAAAGGCCCUGCCGGCCCACAUCCCAAUAUGUACAACUAUUUCCAAUGGGGCUCCGCUGUAAAAAGGAAUAGAAACUGGCAUACACCUCCGCGGCAGCAACAGAAGAAGCUUCCUGUGUUGCAUUGGGAUCAACAGGGGAAGCCCAGCGGCAGACGCUUCCCCUGUGGGAUGAGGAAACAUGAACUACGUGCUGUGAUGGACAGUAAGGAAACCCAAACUGCAGCUCAGAUGGAAGAAUGGCUUCUGACGCCCCUUGGCCAAACAACUGUUAACAACUUUCUUCUGCAGCUGGGAGAAGCAUGGUGUUUUUGUUGGAAAUUCAACAAUGUUAAGAACUGAAGAGUGAAGCAUGCCUUAAAUUGGGCAGUACUUAGUCCACCUAUGCUGACCAAUCUGUGUUGUAUCUGAUGCUCUUAGGGAUGUUUAUCUACCUCUUUUUCUUCUCAUGAGUCCUCUCUUAGUCUUCCAAGAUACAGCUAGGUUAAAUAAGAACCCUGAGUUACUAUCCUAUCCUAGAAUGGAGUCCCUACAAUACAUUUAUUCAUUUAUUUAUUUACGACAUUUCUAUCCCACCUUUCUCCACCCUGGAGGGGACUCAAGGCGGCUUUACAUAUAGGCAGCUAUUUGAUGCCUUAGAAACAGAAUGCAAUUAAAAUGAACAUUUAAAAUAGAAUAAUAAAAUGCAAUUAAAACACUUAGAAACAUUUAAAACAAUAUCAUCACAAAUAAUCACAUAAUCCACAAGCAUAAUCCGGACCAUUCCUAUAGUCAUUGCACAUCAUUCCAUACCUGUCUAUUGCACAAGUUCUCCAAAGGCAUAGUCACAAAGCCAUGUUUUUACUCCCUUGCAGAAGAUUAGGAGGGAGGGAGCUGAUCUAAUAUCCCUGGGGAGGGAAUUCCAUAGCCAAGGGGCCACAACUGAGAAGGUCCUGUCUCGCCUCCACCAAUCGCGCCUGCAAAGGAGGCAGGACUGAGAGCUUACUACUUACUUUCCCUCAAUGAUCUUAAACUCCAAGAUGGAUAUAUGUUUGGACAGGAAAGCUGGGCCAGAGCCAUUUAGGGCUUUAUAGGCUAAAGCCAGCACUUUGAAUUGUGCUCGGUAACAGAUUGGCAGACGUAACAGGGGGUUGUAUGCUCCCUGUAUGCUGCUCCAGUGAGCAACCUGGCUGCCGACUGUUGGACCAUUUGAAGCUUCCAAUCAGUUUUUAAAGGCAACCCCACGUAGAGCAUGUUGCAGUAAUCUUUUCCGAAUGUAACCAGAGCAUGGUCUACCAUGGUCAAGUUGACUUCCCAAGGUAUGGGCGCAAAUGGUUCACAAAUUUAAAUUGUGCAAAAGCUCCCCUGGCCACCUCCAAAACCUGGGGUUCCAGGCUCAGCGAUGAGUCCAGGAGAACUCCCAUGCUGCGAACCUGCAUCUUUAGAGGGAGUGUAACCAAUUCCAACACAGGCUGUAACCCUAUACCCUGUUUGGCCUUGCAACUGAGCAGAAGUACUUCUGUCUUGCCUGGAUUCAGUGAUAGAGUUGAACGUCAUCUGUGUACAGAUGACAUCAAACUCCAAAACACUGGAUGAUCUCUCCCGACACCUUCAUGUAGAUGUUUUUGUUUUGUUUUUCGUGUCAGGAGCAACCGGAGUUGCUUCUGGAGUGAGAGAAUUGGCCGUCUGCAAGGACGUUGCCCAGGGGACGCCCAGAUGUUUGUUUGUUUUUUGAUGUUUUUACCAUCCUUGUGGGAGGCUUCUCUCAUGUCCCAUGUAGAUGUUAAACAAGAUAGGAAACAGUAUUGCGCCCUGUGGGACCCCACAAGACAAAGGCUGUGGGGCCAAGCAGGUGUCCCCCCCCCCCCCCCCCCCCCCGCCCAGCAACACCUUCUGAGAGCAACCCUCCAGGAAGGACCGGAGCCACUGCAAAACAGUACCUCCAAGACCCAUCUCCAAUAAAGCUUAAUUUAAUUUCUUUCUCAAGCCAUAAGUGUGCUUGCUCCUUAAAUCAAGCUCUGUAGCUACCACAUACAAUCUAACAGCAUUGUCUUUUCUGAUCCUACAAAGUACUGUUCUUAUUUGAACCUCCAAUGUGAACUUGGAUCGUUUAUCUUUACCACCUUUUCACUACAUAGCUUUUAAAACGUAAAUAUUGUUCUCCUCUCCUAUGUUAAAUACAGGGUUGGCAAGUCAAUAUCAUCCCAGGCUCUGAAACCAAGAAACAGACCCCAUGAUGGCAUUACAGAGGCAAACAGACCCUCUUGGUGGCAUAGAGAGCAGAUUUUCACGAUGGCAUUGAAUAUGAUAGAUCAAGUAUUAGUCACAAUUGCUGAUAGUAUAUCAUUCAUUACGCACACAUAUCAGUGGCAUCACUGGAAACCACACUGGUUGAUACCAUCAGAGGGAAAUGACAUCAAAAUAAAUGUCUUGGACAUUUUUGUGCAAUA